UACGUAGGGUGCAAGCGUGUCCGGAAUUAUUGGGCGUAAAGAGCUCGUAGGCGGUUUGUCGCGUCUGCUGUGAAAACUCGAGGCUCAACCUCGAGACGCCGGUGGAACCAUCAGGCUAAGAGCCGGAAGAGGAGAGGUGGAAUUCCUGGUGUAGCGGUGAAAUGCGUAGAGAUCGGGAGGAACACCAGAGGCGAAGGCGGCUCACGUGGACAGUAACCUGACACUCAACUGCGAAACGUGGGGGAGCAAA
rnacentral:rRNA from 1 species